GAUGAACGCUGGCGGCGUGCCUAAUACAUGCAAGUCGAGCGAACAGACGAGGAGCUUGCUCCUCUGACGUUAGCGGCGGACGGGUGAGUAACACGUGGAUAACCUACCUAUAAGACUGGGAUAACUUCGGGAAACCGGAGCUAAUACCGGAUAAUAUAUUGAACCGCAUGGUUCAAUAGUGAAAGACGGUUUUGCUGGCACUUAUAGAUGGAUCCGCGCCGCAUUAGCUAGUUGGUAAGGUAACGGCUUAGCAGGGCGACGAGGCGUAUGCGACCUGAGGGGGGGAUCGGCCACACUGGAAGUUGGACACCGUCCAGACGCCUGCGGGAGGCAGCAGUAGGGAAUCUGCCGCAAUGGGCGAAAGCCUGACGGAGCAGCGCCGAGUGAGUGAUGAAGGUCUUCCGAUCGUAAAACUCGGUUAUUAGUGAAGAACAAAUGUGUAAGUAACUAUACACGUCUUGACGGUAACGAAUCAGAAAGCCACGGCUAACUACGUG
rnacentral:rRNA from 1 species